rnacentral:rRNA from 1 species
UACAGAGACAGCAAGCGUUGCUCGGAUUCAUUGGGCGUAAAGGGUCCGCAGGUGGUUCGUUAAGUCGGGUGUGAAAUCUCACAGCCUAACUGUGAUAGGUCAUUCGAUACUAGCGAGCUGGAGGACUGGAGAGGAGACUGGAAUUGCUGGUGUAGCAGUGAAAUGCGUAGAGAUCAGCAAGAACACCGGUGGCGAAGGCGAGUCUCUGGACAGUUCCUGACACUCAUGGACGAAAGCUAGGGGAGCAAACGGG